UCUCCGAAGCGUGUUUUCAGAACAGAAGUAACGUAGUGAGUAAAUCUCCCCCGUGCUGCUCGCAGACCAGCUAAUCCAUAACGACAUAUUCGUCACAACGAUUUUCAUCAUCGAUUAUUAUCUGUUUUAUCGAUUAGUUGAUGCAGCUCUAGUUGCCAGCGUUGUAAAAUUUGUUGUGGGUGUAUGGGGUGGCCUGCAUGAGUGCGAGAUUCCCAGCCAGAAAUUAUAUCCCAGUCCGGCCCUGGCCCUGUGAUAGGAUAAGUGGUACAGAAAGUGGAUGGAUGGACGGACGGAUGUACGGACGGAUGUACGGACGGGUGGGUGGAUGGAUGGAUUACAUUUACAUUUAUCUCAUUUGGUUGACUUUUUUUAUCCAGUUAAGGGUUAAGGCCGGGGCUGGAGGAUCCGAGAGGCACGCGGUGGUGCUGGGGUUUAAACUCACAACCUUCUGAUCAGAGACACAAACCCUUAACCGCUUUCUUUCUUUCCUUGGCUCCAUAGAAUUUUUAACAUGCAACAGAAUAAACAAACAAACAAACAAACAAACAAAUAAAUAAACACUCGACAAACACGAUGCAGUUUGGCGUGUAGAUAAGAACGAGGUGUAAACAUUCGCUCUGAGACCAAGUGUGUGAGAAAGCUGAGAAAACACCACGGUAUGUUCAAGAUUUAAUAAAACCGUUUGACCAGAAUCUGUAGAAGGAAUAAAAAUAAAGAAAGAGUUUCUUCUUCUUCCUCUUCCUCCUCUUCUUCUUCUUCUUCUUCUUCUUCUUCUUCUUCUUCUUCUUCUUCUGCACUCCGGGCGAUUGAUCAAAGUCAGAGAGAAAUCAUGCAACAGCAAAACAUCUGAUCAUCAACUGAGUUUAUUUCAACUUUAUACAAGAAAUCAGGGUUAGGACAGAGUUAUACUGAUCACACACCACACACACACACACACACACACACACACACACACACACACACACACAGUUACUCACUCAUACACACACACACACACACAGUUACUCACUCAAACACACACACACACAAUUAUACACAGUUACUCACUCAUACACACACACACACACAC
ensembl:lncRNA